CUGUCACAUCGGACUUGUAGUGUCGGUACGUCUCGACGCUCGGCGUAAUUCCGAAAAUAUUCCGGCUUCCCGAAUUCAACGACGUUCGUCACAUCUGACCCCUCGCCUGCGCUAAGGGCUAUCGCGUUUCUAACUGUCGGCCCGGCGGGAUGCGUCUAGAACCCUACGGAGACACUGUAUCUCGAAUCCUCCGAUUUCCAGAACAUUCGCUUUCGUACGUGUCCGAGAUUCCG